GUUUUCACCUUCGCUAAGAAAUCCAGUCUCCCUACGAUUUGGUUAUGCAGACGAAGCAGCUUGGGAGGUUGCGGUGGUGCAGUUCGCCGCAGGUGGAGUGGCGACGCCGGCCGAUGCAGCGUUGAUGAUGCAGUUGGGCUGUGAUGGAGUGUUUGUGGGCUCUGGGGUUUUCAAGAGCGGUGACCCGGCAAAGCGUGCCCGGGCCAUUGUUCAGGCCGUCACUCAUUACAGUGACCCGGACGUGCUUGCUGAUGUUAGCUGUGGGCUUGGUGAGGCUAUGGUUGGCCUUAAUUUGACCGAUAAGAAGGCGAGAGGUUCGCAGCUCGGUCCGAUUAGUAAUUGAAGGAAUCCUUUGGUUGUCGCCCCCACCAUCACCUUCAUCAAGUGAUCAUCUUCCAAAUUAUCAAGGUUUUAAGUGGUAGUCUUUAAUACAGUGGAUGCAACUUUAUGUCUUAAAUGUUCCCUGUAUAAAAUUUGAUAUUUUAAGAUUCCCAGGAAUAAAACAGCUUGUCUCUGAAUUCUGCUACUAUAAUGUAUUUUUUUACAUUGAUUAGGCUCAGGCUCCUGCACAAUCUUUUACCUUAAGUUUCACUUGGUAUUGCUCUAUGAAUUAAGGCUCUGCUCUUUGCCUAUUUUUCUCUUUGGUUGCA